CAUUUGCUAGCAGCGGCGGCAGACCAGAACAAAAAAUGAGUUCAUUACUGUACUAUAGAACCACCAAUGGAACUUGACAUGGUGAUCUUGCGGCGAUCGUGAGGGUGAAAGUGGCUUGAUCUCGCGGCAUGAUGGAUGACCAUGGAAGACAGCGCUGCGGUGGUGCGACGCGGCGGGGGUGGCGCCUUUCAUUGCGGUCAGACCGAUCUGAAACGGUUCACGGUGAAGGCGCUAGGGGAUUUUGUGGUGCAGUUCCACGGUGCUAUCAACGGUGGUUCAUAUCUUCUGGUACAGUCUCGCCGAUCUGAAUGAUGAGGUUGUUGGCAGCGGCUUGAUGUGGUAACAAGCACUAAGAGACAGAGGAAUAGGCCUUAGGAGCACUGAAAAUGGAGGAAAAAAUUGAGUCUACCAGCAGGGCGGUAUCUUGUGGAGGUGGAAGAGCCCUCUUUGCAGUGGCGGUAUGUGAUUGGGUAUUGCCGUGUAGGAAGGAAGGUCGUUUCUAUCAAAAUUUUCGUCCCCUUCAGAUGGGUUUGUCUUUGAAUGUUGGGGCAUAAUAUCACAAUGCAUCCUCCGCUGUUUUUAUUGAACCAUUGCCAGUUAUAGACUUUGUAAAACAACUGCUGAACAGGAAUGUCUCCAACCAACCACUUUCUUAUGCUGAUCGUGCAAAGAUCAAGGAAGGACUUUGUGGAAUAAAAGUUGAAACAACUCACAUACGAAGAAAACAUCGUAUCUGUGAUCUAACUUCACAGAAUGCUACAUAGUUGAGGUAAGUAGCAUUAACUUUUGUUAUUUUAAAAUGCAAAAAAGAAACUCAUCUAUUAAUUUUCUUUUGAGUCGUCAACAAUGUUAGAUUCCCUAUAGAUGACAAAGGAACUAUGAAAUCUGUAGUGAAAUUUUUCUUUGAGAAAUAUGGUGUCAAAAUUCAUCAUGCGCUUGCUUGCAAGUGGGAAAUACCAGUAGGUUAUGCUAUCUACCCCCACUUGCAAGCAAGGCAAGUGCGCAUGCUGAAUUUCGACACCAUAUUUCUCAAAGAAAAAUUCCACUAUAGAUUUCAUAGUUCCUUUGUCAUCUAUGGGGGAAUCUGACAUUGUUGACGACCCAAAAGAAAAUUAGUAGAUGAGUUUCUUUAUUGUAUUAAGAAUAACAAAAGUUAUUGCUACUUACCUCAACUCUGUAGCAUUCUGUGAAGUUAGAUCACAGAUACGAUGUUUUCUUUGUAUGUGUGUUGUUUCAACAAUGUUAGAUUCUCCAUAGAGGAACGAUGAAAUCUGCUGUGGAUAUUUCUUUGGGAAAUACAGUGUUGAAAUUCAACAUGUGCUUUUGCCUUGCUUGGAAGUGGGAAAUACCAGUAGAUUAUGUUAUCUACCAAUGGAGGUUUGCAAGAUAGCUUAUGGACAAAGGUGGAUCUCAAGCAGUUUCAUGCCAAAACAGAUUAAAUGUUUAUUUGCCCUACGUCGUUGGCAUCCCGCCGAGAGAGAGGAUAAUUGUGCCCUAUAUCUUAUGCUCAUUUGGGGCUGCUUGAGCUCGGUUUUAUAUGAAACCUGAGCUUCAGGUUCAAUGUCUAUGUCAAGUGGUGCUGUAGCUGGUUGUGGAAUGGAUGCUGGUGCAGGACGUGAUAUUCGUGAACCUCCUUCCUUCCAUCAAAGAAAAUAUUUUGGAUCUCAACCAAGUUCAGUGGGUGCACUCAUCAUAUUUCUCAAGUGACAGUUCAGUGACCUGCCAUUCGCUCAAUGAUGAAUUAGUUAUAGUUCGGAUUGAAUGAUAUUAGUAUAAUUAGAGUAUGGUUGCAGAUUGGUUAAAUUCGUUUUUUAAUUCUGCUAUUAGUUACUAGGUGGUCACUCUUGUAUAAGCAAUAAUAUUGGGUUGUUGUAUAGACUUUUACACAUUCGGUAAUUUUCUGAUUUCUCAUCUUUUCCACAAAAAAAUGGUCCGAAUCAAAUCUUACUGAA